rnacentral:rRNA from 1 species
GACGAACGCUGGCGGCGUGCUUAACACAUGCAAGUCGAACGGAAAGGCCCUGCUUUUGUGGGGUGCUCGAGUGGCGAACGGGUGAGUAACACGUGAGUAACCUGCCCUUGACUUUGGGAUAACUUCAGGAAACUGGGGCUAAUACCGGAUAGGAGCUCCUGCUGCAUGGUGGGGGUUGGAAAGUUUCGGCGGUUGGGGAUGGACUCGCGGCUUAUCAGCUUGUUGGUGGGGUAGUGGCUUACCAAGGCUUUGACGGGUAGCCGGCCUGAGAGGGUGACCGGCCACAUGGGGACUGAGAUACGGCCCAGACUCCUACGGGAGGCAGCAGUGGGGAAUAUUGCACAAGGGGCGGAAGCCUGAUGCAGCAACGCCGCGUGCGGGAUGACGGCCUUCGGGUUGUAAACCGCUUUCGCCUGUGACGAAGCGUGAGUGACGGGAAUGGGUAAAGAAGCACCGGCUAACUACGU